rnacentral:rRNA from 1 species
GACGAACGCUGGAGGCGUGCUUAACACAUGCAAGUCGAACGAUGAAAUGGAGCUUGCUCCAUGGAUUAGUGGCGAACGGGUGAGUAACACGUGAAUAACCUGCCCUUAAUUUUGGAAUAACCCAGGGAAACCUGGGCUAAUACCGGAUAAGUAAACCUGUGGCAUCACCUGGUUUUGGAAAGUUUUUCGAUUAAGGAUGGAUUCGCGGCCUAUCAGCUUGUUGGUGAGGUAAUGGCUCACCAAGGCGACGACGGGUAGCCGGCCUGAGAGGGUGAACGGCCACACUGGGACUGGGACACGGCCCAGACUCCUACGGGAGGCAGCAGUGGGGAAUAUCGCGCAAUGGACGAAAGUCUGACGCAGCGACGCCUCGUGAGGGACGAAGGUCUUCGGAUUGUAAACCUCUUUCAGCAGGGACGAAGCGAAAGUGACGGUGCCUGCAGAAGAAGCACCGGCUAACUAUGUGCCAGCCGCCGCCGUAA